rnacentral:rRNA from 1 species
GACGAACGCUGGCGGCGUGCUUAACACAUGCCAGUCGAACGGAAAGGCCCUGCUUUUGUGGGGUGCUCGAGUGGCGAACGGGUGAGUAACACGUGAGUAACCUGCCCUUGACUUUGGGAUAACUUCAGGAAACUGGGGCUAAUACCGGAUAGGAGCUCCUGCUGCAUGGUGGGGGUUGGAAAGUUUCGGCGGUUGGGGAUAGACUCGCGGCUUAUCAGCUUGUUGGUGGGGUAGUGGCUUACCAAGGCUUUGGCGGGUAGCCGGCCUGAGAGGGUGACCGGCCACAUUGGGACUGAGAUACGGACCAGACGCGUAUGGGAGGCAGCAGUGGGGAGUAUUGCGCAAUGGGGGGAAGCCUGAUGCAGCAACGCCGCGUGCGGGAUGACGGCCUUCGGGUUGUAAACCGAUUUCGCCUGUGACGAAGCGUGAGUGACGGUAAUGGGUAAAGAAGCACCGGCUAACUACGUG